rnacentral:rRNA from 1 species
UACGAAGGGUGCAAGCGUUACUCGGAAUUACUGGGCGUAAAGCGUGCGUAGGUGGUUCGUUAAGUCUGAUGUGAAAGCCCUGGGCUCAACCUGGGAAUGGCAUUGGAUACUGGCGGGCUAGAGUGCGGUAGAGGGCAGUGGAAUUCCCGGUGUAGCAGUGAAAUGCGUAGAGAUCGGAAAGAACACCAACGGCGAAAGCACUCUGCUGGGCCGACACUGACACUGAGAGACGAAAGCUAGGGGAGCGAAUGGG